GGAACCAUUGUGACAUUCGGAGACAGGGUGAUGUAGCAAAGCAGCGCUAUUAGGGGAUGACUGUCUUGUAACCAAGCCAAGUGAGCACAACUCUGAUGCAACCAGGAUAUAAGCACAAGUUUAUGUAAUGAACUACCACCCAUGUGCUGCUGUUUACCUAUGGUAGUAUCCAAAUGCCUCAACUUGGGGUCUCACAGAACAAGAAGCUGCAGUUUUAGCUGCCCCAACAUUGGAGCUGCUGCCACCGAACACCAACAAGUGAGAGGAGGACAUGGAAGAGCAAGUAGUGCUUAGGCAACCGGCUCUGCCUCCUUGGUCUGGAACCACAAAAAUACCACAGCCAAAAGAAAUCUGCCUGAUUUGUUUUCUGAACAAACCAUUACCACCCAGCAACAGGAUCCUGAAGUUACAGUAGAUGUAAUGAGAUGUAAAGAGUUUGACUAAUGGCAUGAAAAAUGUUACUGGUGAUACAGAGAUAUUUAGAACAGAGGAAUCUGAAGAUAACAGAGGAGUUUCAGGAGGACAUCAGUAGCACCUGGGCAGCAAGUUGGUGGUUAAUUUAUGGAUAAAUGCAAGUGACUCACAUGGAAAUAAUCCUACACAACAAUGAAUUUUAAAUUAUCCUUUUCCAUAUGUUCAAGAGACAGGAUAGUUUUUGAAAAAAAUCAACAGAGUUGAUGUUACAAGUAGAAACAAAGAUUAAGGAGAGAAGCAAAGAACAGAAAAGCAAUUGUCCUUGCAGGACUGAGGCCCUGCAGGGAACAUCUUCUGGCACAUGGCAUGUGGCUUGGGUGUCCCUCUCCACAGCCUGAAGCUGGGAGAGGUGCAAAGGAUGACAAAGGCUUCAGGCAGGACGCGCCAAUGGAUCAGGAGACUGUAGAGAGUCUCAGUGGGACAGGGAAGGCAGAUGAGAUGAUUGUUUCUGAAGCCGGUGUUUGUUUAACGCUCUCCAGCUCUUGUACUGGAUGAAAUAGGGAGCAUGCAUAAAAUGCUGAAUUACAAAAUAUCUCU